rnacentral:rRNA from 1 species
AGUGAACGCUGGCGGUAGGCCUAACACAUGCAAGUCGAACGGCAGCACAGUAAGAGCUUGCUCUUACUGGUGGCGAGUGGCGGACGGGUGAGGAAUACAUCGGAAUCUACUUUUUCUUGGGGGAUAACGGAGGGAAACUUACGCUAAUACCGCAUACUACCUACGGGUGAAAGCAGGGGAUCUUCGGACCUUUCGCGAUUGAAUGAGCCGAUGUCGGAUUAGCUAGUUGGCGGGGUAAAGGCCCACCAAGGCGACGAUCCGUAGCUGGUCUGAGAGGAUGAUCAGCCACACUGGAACUGAGACACGGUCCAGACUCCUACGGGAGGCAGCAGUGGGGAAUAUUGGACAAUGGGCGCAAGCCUGAUCCAGCCAUACCGCGUGGGUGAAGAAGGCCUUCGGGUUGUAAAGCCCUUUUGUUGGGAAAGAAAAGAAGCAGGUUAAUACCCCGCUGUUCUGACGGUACCCAAAGAAUAAGCACCGGCUAACUUCGUG